UACGAAGGGGGCUAGCGUUGCUCGGAAUCACUGGGCGUAAAGCGCACGUAGGCGGAUUGCUAAGUCAGGGGUGAAAUCCUGGAGCUCAACUCCAGAACUGCCUUUGAUACUGGCGAUCUUGAGUCCGGGAGAGGUGAGUGGAACUGCGAGUGUAGAGGUGAAAUUCGUAGAUAUUAGGAAGAACACCAGUGGCGAAGGCGGCUCACUGGCCCGAAACUGACGCUGAUGUACGAAAGCGUGGGGAGCAAACAGG
rnacentral:rRNA from 1 species